ACGGGUGAGUAACACGUGGGUAACCUGCCCAGAAGUAGGGGAUAACACCUGGAAACAGAUGCUAAUACCGUAUAACAGAGAAAACCGCCUGGUUUUCUUUUAAAAGAUGGCUCUGCUAUCACUUCUGGAUGGACCCGCGGCGCAUUAGCUGGUUGGUGAGGUAACGGCUCACCAAGGCGAUGAUGCGUAGCCGACCUGAGAGGGUAAUCGGCCACAUUGGGACUGAGACACGGCCCAGACUCCUACGGGAGGCAGCAGUAGGGAAUCUUCCACAAUGGACGCAAGUCUGAUGGAGCAACGCCGCGUGAGUGAAGAAGGGUUUCGGCUCGUAAAGCUCUGUUGUUAAAGAAGAACGUGGGUGAGAGUAACUGUUCACCCAGUGACGGUAUUUAACCAGAAAGCCACGGCUAACUACGUGCCAGCAGCCGCGGUAAUACGUAGGUGGCAAGCGUUAUCCGGAUUUAUUGGGCGUAAAGCGAGCGCAGGCGGUCUUUUAAGUCUAAUGUGAAAGCCUUCGGCUCAACCGAAGAAGUGCAUUGGAAACUGGGAGACUUGAGUGCAGAAGAGGACAGUGGAACUCCAUGUGUAGCGGUGAAAUGCGUAGAUAUAUGGAAGAACACCAGUGGCGAAGGCGGCUGUCUGGUCUGUAACUGACGCUGAGGCUCGAAAGCAUGGGUAGCGAACAGGAUUAGAUACCCUGGUAGUCCAUGCCGUAAACGAUGAUUACUAAGUGUUGGAGGGUUUCCGCCCUUCAGUGCUGCAGCUAACGCAUUAAGUAAUCCGCCUGGGGAGUACGACCGCAAGGUUGAAACUCAAAAGAAUUGACGGGGGCCCGCACAAGCGGUGGAGCAUGUGGUUUAAUUUCGAAGCUACGCGAAGAACCUUACCAGGUCUUGACAUCUUCUGCCAACCUAGGAGAUUAGGCGUUCCCUUCGGGGACAGAAUGACAGGUGGUGCAUGGUUGUCGUCAGCUCGUGUCCUGAGAUGUUGGGUUAGUCCCGCAACGAGCGCAACCCUUAUUACUAGUUGCCACCAUUCAGUUGGGCACUCUAUGAGACGGCGGUGACAACCCGAGGAAGGUGGGGAC
rnacentral:rRNA from 1 species